CACACAGAGAGAGUCCUGAGACUCUGGAGCCGCAGCGACUCGUCACACUACAUGACAACAGUCUAAUGUGCUAUUCUGUGAAAAACCCCGCUUGUUUGGGACUAUUCAUUCACUGAUUGUUCUAAAGGGACGUCAUAUCUAACUGAAGAGGUGUGGCUCUCUGUCUGGAGCUGCAACUGACCUCAGCCCUGCUGUCAUGGCCUCAGCCCUCACACCAUGCAGAAAGCACCCCUCCUAACCCUCAUACCUCACACACACUCACACCACACAUCGCCACACACACGCACAGUCAUGAUGACCACCUCCCACAUGAAUGGGUAUGUGA